GAUGAACGCUAGCGGCGGGCCUAAUACAUGCAAGUCGAGGGGUAGCAAGAUUGUAGCAAUACAAUUGUUGACGACCGGCAAACGGGUGCGGAACACGUACACAACCUUCCUACAAGUGGGGAAUAGCCCAGAGUAAUUUGGAUUAAUACCCCGUAACAUAGCGAUGUGGCAUCACAUUGCUAUUAUAGCUUCGGCGCUUGUUGAUGGGUGUGCGGCUGAUUAGAUAGUUGGCGGGGUAACGGCCCACCAAGUCUACGAUCAGUAGCUGAUGUGAGAGCAUGAUCAGCCACACGGGCACUGAGACACGGGCCCGACUCCUACGGGAGGCAGCAGUAAGGAAUAUUGGACAAUGGACGCAAGUCUGAUCCAGCCAUGCCGCGUGAAGGAUUAAGGUCCUCUGGAUUGUAAACUUCUUUUAUAAGGGACGAAAAAAGGUCUUUCUAGAUCGUCUGACGGUACCUUAUGAAUAAGCACCGGCUAACUCCGUGCCAGCCGCCGCCGUAAAAC
rnacentral:rRNA from 1 species